AGAUGCGAGAGUAGAGCAUAUCAAUAAGCGGAGGAAAAGAAACUAACUAGGAUUCCCUUAGUAACGGCGAGUGAAGCGGGAAGAGCUCAAAUUUGAAAUCUUCAAGGUUCUACCUUGACGAAUUGUAGUUUAAAGAAGUGUUUUCUGUUGGAGUUUUCGGUAAAAGUUCUUUGGAAUAGGACAUCAUAGAGGGUGAGAAUCCCGUAUUUGACCUAUUACUUUCUAGCUGUGUGAUACACUUUCAAAGAGUCGGAUUGUUUGGGAAUGCAGUCCAAAAUGGGUGGUAAAUUUCAUCUAAAGCUAAAUAUUGGCGAGAGACCGAUAGCGAACAAGUACCGUGAGGGAAAGAUGAAAAGAACUUUGAAAAGAGAGUUAAACAGUACGUGAAAUUGUCAAAAGGGAAGCGUUUGACACCAGUGUUGUUUAGUUGAAAAUCAAUUCAAUAGUUUUUGAUUCUAAGUAGUAUUGACUUCAUCAGCUUGCUGCUUUCUUCUCAGAAAUUAUUGAAUGCACUUUUCAGUUAACAAGUCAACAUCAAUUUCUUUUGUUGUAAAAGGGUAAGAGGAAGGUGGCUUGCGCUUCGGCUCAAGUGUUUAUAGCCUUUUAUCUCUGCAAUCGGAGAGAUUGAGGUCUGCAGCGUAGAUCCUUCGGGGUUAGAUACAUUGGUGCUAAGCUAUAGCCUUGUAUAGACAACUUGUUGACUAUGCUCAGUCAUGUAGCUUACUCGCUGAUGCUAUUUUACCUACGCUUAGGAUGUUGACGCGCGUGUGUGCGUG
rnacentral:rRNA from 1 species